UGGUUUGCCAAGUCAUCCUCCCCUCUCAAGGUAAGGAAGGGAAAAGAAAGCAGGAAACAUUGGAAAGAUACAUGGAGUCUUUCCUAUGAAGGUGUGUCCCACAGAGAGAUUUAGACCACUGAUUGACAUUCAUACCUGUGGAAGUGAAGUGUCAGUCCUGGAAGAACUGAAGGCAUUUACACACCAGGAAAUGGUUACCUCAAUUUACUGGAUCUGGAUUAAUUCCUAACCGGCGGAUGAUAAAUAAAUCUACUAAUGUGGAGAGCACAAAAAAUUAUAACUGAUGUUCGUUGCUACGUGCUAUGAUCUUAAAGUAAGCCCCUGACCUCAAAGAGAUUACUGUCUACUUUCAGAGUUAAAGUUUAAACAAAAACAAAAAACAAUAAGUGAAGAUGGUAUAUGUUUAGUAUGGAUCAUUUUCUAGAGAAUUUGGAAACAGAGUGUUUGGCAACUUCUGUAGGAACCAGAGCAAGCUCCACAGUGGGGAGGAACUUGAGUGGAAGUUGAAGAAUGAGGAGUUGGAGGCAGUGGUAGAGGCUUUGGGUUAUAAUAUGGUUUACAUUUAAGUGUUGAAUAAGCAACUGAUAUCAAGUUAUUUGCCUUUGCAAAUAAUAUUACAAAUAUUGCGAAUGUACUUUUUGCAAGUGGUAUCGAACAUGCUCCUUUUGGGGUGUAAUCACACAGCAUAUACUCUCAAAGGUCUAUACAAGAAAAAUUAACUAGGUAAUUAUUGUUUGUGAUUAAUGAAAACACAAUUAUGAUAUGUUAAAAAUACAUUGCUUUUGUGUAUCAAGAUCCAGGGCUAUGGAAGUGUUAUCUACACAGACACAAACAGUUGGGAACAAAAGUAAUUUAAUUAAGGGAUUCUUUUAAUAAUACUUUAUUGCAUAGCUAUUUACCUGAAUUGAUUUUUUUAAAUAAACUAUGUUAUUACUACUGUUUCAAAACACCUGUAUGAAAAGAUAUAGAAAAGUAUAAAAGUAUAACAUCUAACAAAAAUAUUGAACUAAAAUUCUACAAUACUCACAUUUAUUAAUCUGUUAAAGAUAUAAUAAACCUAUGUGUACAAUGUAAAUGGACUAUUGAUUUUACCUAUUCUUUUUCUAUGAGAAUGACAGAUAAAAUUCUCAUAUUUGAUCAUAUGGAAGAGGCUCAUAUUGAGUGGUUGUAAUUUAACUAUAGUAAUAAUUGCUUAUAAAAUGUCAUCCACCUGCCUGUUUAUAGCUAAUCUUUACUUUAGUGAAAACUUCCUUCCCAAAUCCUGAUUUGCUUCACAGGCACUGGCUCAGCCUUUCCAAACCUGAUCUCCCCUAUAUUCACUCCUCCCCAGAUAUAUUGCUCAUAGCGGUCAGUGGCAUCACGUUGUACGCAGGUAUGCAAGACAGGCUCUUGGCAAUCAAGCUUGAUGAUCAUCUCUGAGAGAAAUUUGAUUUCCAAUUUCUUAUAUAUAUAUACUUUUUGCAGUAUUCCCAUCUUUGUUCCUGAUUUCAAGCCUUAGAUGAUUAAUUUUGCAUGUUAAUUUGACUGGGCCAAGGGGUGCCCAGACCUUUGGUCAAUUACUCUGGGUGUGUCUGUGAGAACUUUUCUGGAAGAGAUAAACAAUUGAAUCAGUAGACUGAGUUAAACAGAAUCCUUCCCCAGAUUUCAUGGGCUCCAUCCAAUCAACUAGAAGACUGGUAAGACCAAAAAGAUUGAUCCUCUCAAGAGUAAAAGGGAAUUCUAUCUUCCUGGCUGCCUUCAAAUGGACAUUGGCUUUUUUCCUCCCUUCCUACUCAAACUGAAACAUUGGCUCUUCCUGGGUUUACUGGCCUUUGACUGAACUACACCUUUGGCUCUCUUGGAUCUUCAGCUUGUCUACUACAUAUUAUAUCCUGUUGGUUCUGUUUCUUUGGAGAUCUGAAGAACUUUGCCUAAUACAAAGCCUUUGGCUCUUUUUUCCUGAAUUUUGAAGUACUCUCUUAAUUGCUCUCCAGUUUCACAUUCUGCCCAUAUAUCUUCCACACACCUGCUAUAAUUAUAUUUUUCGAAUACAAAUCUCCUUAGGCCAUUCCCUGGCUUAAAAAUCUUCCUUGGCUCCUCAUCCAUUUUAGGAUAAAACACAACUGCUAACACACCAAAUCAAGCACCUUAAUGAUCUAGGCCGGCCUUGUUGGCACUAGGUUUUUCCUUCCUUCCAGGAAAACUGAAAAAGUUCCCGUUUCCUGAACCUGGGUCUGUUGAGCUGGUGCGUCUUUACAUGUUCUACUUGCUUUACCUGUACUUUCACUUCUCCCUCUCAUCCAUUGGUCACUUGUCUAA
ensembl:lncRNA